AUUGAACGCUGGCGGCAUGCCUUACACAUGCAAGUCGAACGGUAACGGGCCUUCGGGUGCCGACGAGUGGCGAACGGGUGAGUAAUGUAUCGGAACGUACCUUUCAGUGGGGGAUAACGUAGCGAAAGUUACGCUAAUACCGCAUAUUCUGUGAGCAGGAAAGCAGGGGAUCGCAAGACCUUGCGCUGAUUGAGCGGCCGAUAUCAGAUUAGCUAGUUGGUGAGGUAAAGGCUCACCAAGGCGACGAUCUGCAGCGGGUCUGAGAGGAUGAUCCGCCACACUGGAACUGAGACACGGUCCAGACUCCUACGGGAGGCAGCAGUGGGGAAUUUUGGACAAGGGGGGCAACCCUGAUCCAGCCAUGCCGCGUGAGUGAAGAAGGCCUUCGGGUUGUAAAGCUCUUUCGGCCGGGAAGAAAUCGUAUCAGCUAAUACCUGGUGCGGAUGACGGUACCGGCAUAAGAAGCACCGGCUAACUACGUGCCAGCCGCCGCGGUAAAAC
rnacentral:rRNA from 1 species